rnacentral:rRNA from 1 species
AUGGGAUUAGCUAGUAAGUGGGGUAACGGCUCACCUAGGCGACGAUCCCUAGCUGGUCUGAGAGGAUGACCAGGCACACUGGAACUGAGACACGGUCCAGACUCCUACGGGAGGCAGCAGUGGGGAAUAUUGCACAAUGGGCGCAAGCCUGAUGCAGCCAUGCCGCGUGUAUGAAGAAGGCCUUCGGGUUGUAAAGUACUUUCAGCGGGGAGGAAGGGAGUAAAGUUAAUACCUUUGCUCAUUGACGUUACCCGCAGAAGAAGCACCGGCUAACUCCGUGCCAGCAGCCGCGGUAAUACGGAGGGUGCAAGCGUUAAUCGGAAUUACUGGGCGUAAAGCGCACGCAGGCGGUUUGUUAAGUCAGAUGUGAAAUCCCCGGGCUCAACCUGGGAACUGCAUCUGAUACUGGCAAGCUUGAGUCUCGUAGAGGGGGGUAGAAUUCCAGGUGUAGCGGUGAAAUGCGUAGAGAUCUGGAGGAAUACCGGUGGCGAAGGCGGCCCCCUGG